UUUUUAAAAGUUUUAGGUUUAAUAAAAACUUUAUGUCUUCAAAACAUAAGAAUUUAAACUUUGGGGGUAGGGGGUUUUUAAAAGA
rnacentral:tRNA from 1 species